rnacentral:rRNA from 1 species
AUGUCGGCUCAUCGCAUCCUGGGGCUGUAGUCGGUCCCAAGGGUUGGGCUGUUCGCCCAUUAAAGCGGUACGCGAGCUGGGUUCAGAACGUCGUGAGACAGUUCGNNCCUAUCCGUCGCGGGCGUUGGAAAUUGAGAGGAG